rnacentral:lncRNA from 1 species
UCAAGCAAUCCGCCCGCCUCGGCUUCCCAAAGUGCCGGGAUUACAGGCAUGAGCCACCGGGUCCGCCGCUCAGGUGUUUUUAAAGGACGUAGACCCGGUGGUGAUUGUUGUGGGACGAUGAAAGGGUCCGGCCCCAAGAUCGAUGUAGUUUAGGGAAAUAUCUUUUCCCAAGGAAUGUCUCCGAGUUUACAAGAUGAGCGCCAAGGUCACGCCCCCCGCCCUCCCUCACAGCCCUCUGUUCACAGCAGCACCGUUCUCUUGUGGCCGGUUUUGUUGCUUUUCUGCUUAGCAGCCUCCCUCACAGAACCGUGAUCCCCCCACCCCACACAUCCCUUUCCCCGCUUCCUCCCGCACUCCUCUUCUUCCAGCAGGUGUUUACAGAACAUCCACGGAGUUUGGGCCAAGCCCAGAGUGAGGAGCUGGGCACUGGGGUGGCAGAAGACCAGGCCUUGCCUUGAGCCCUUGUGCGAGCUUUACCUCAAAGCCUCUGUAAUCGAAGUGGGAGAAGGGGUGGUGGUGCGUGGUUGGUCUCAGCCACCUCCACCACUCCUCAGAAGAUGAACGCUGGAUCCAGGAAGAGAUUGUCAAGCCUCCCAAGCCCUGUGGGGACAGUGCACACAGACUAUGAUGGAUGCCUGAAGUGGGUUGCAUUACAAGAGAGGAGCACUGAGCUAAAGGAAUUUGCCUCUUUUAGGCUACACAGAAUUAAGCCUGCUCUUUGAAGGUGGGGAGAUGUUAUCUCAUCCCUCAAACGUUGCUUGCUACAAACACCGCCCAGAGAAAUGGACUGAUAAAGAGCUGGACAUUGGAGUGGCAGAACAGCAAGAAUGAUCAGAGAAGUUCAAGGGCCAUGGCAGAGAGCCUUUUCCAACAUAGUACAGUGUACUUAUACACUACAUAUGAAGGCCAGCUAAUCUAGUCUUGGGAGAACCAAGAGAGGCUUCUGAAAGAGAUGACAUCUAUGCCGAACCUUGAAGGUCAAACAGGAAUCAGCCACAUAAAGAGAAGGAGGAGAGCAUUCUGGAUAGCAGGAACAUCAUGUAUAAAACUUUGAAGUAAACGAUACACUCCGAGAAGUUUUUCAUUCCCUUUCACAUUCAUCUCCAUAUUGAACUCCAAUCUCAAACACCUAUAAUUAAAGUCAGUGUGUGACUCUGGAAGGUCUAGAUUCAAUACACUUCUGUGAAUUGCAGUGGCCUCUGGAAUCUUUACAUUAAUGUCACAUAAAAUUCACAGCUAAUUAUUGUCGACUCAGUUCAUAACAUUUCCACCUUUUCGGUAACUCUUCUUUUUUUACUCCACAGUCCGCCUGGUUAACAGUGAGGCUUUGUAACAGCAUAACUUUAACUAUGGCUACAGUUUAUUGGCUCCUAUUUUGGAAACUGACUCAUGCUGAACUAAUCCCCUUUCCCUGGGAGUUUAAAAUCAAGGUUAGGAGAUUUUUAACGUACCGACUGCUCUCCAACAGCAGCAUUAUAACCUUUGCUAUUUUUUUCCCUUGUAUUCUGAAAAUAGAAGAGAAAUACAGAAAACUCUCUGGGUUAUGUAUAGUGCACUAGAGUCUGGUACAGUUCAUGAGCAGCGUCUCUAUCUCUGGUUUCUGAGACAUCCUUGCAUCCUUAUAAUAAAUUCCUCUUUAACUUUA